GAGUGGGAGGCAGGGAGUCCAGUUCAGGGACGGGGAUUCCAGGACUAGCAGUGAAGGGGAAGGGACUGGGCGCAGCCUGGGGGCUCUCUCCCUGGUUUCCACAGACAGAUCCUCGUCCAGGACUCAGGCAGACAGUGUGACAAAGAGGCUUGGUGUAGGAGAAGAGGGAUCAGGACGAAGUCCCAGGUCCCGGGCGUGGCUCUUAGGGUCUCAGGCUCCCAGAGCCUUGUCUGCCUUGGGGAGGCGCAGAGUUGGGGAUUCCCCACUCCCCUAGUUUCACUUCUUCUCCCAACCUGUGUCGGGUCCUUCCUCCAGGAUACUCGUGACGCGUCCCAGUUCCCACUCUCAUUGGGUGUCGGAUGUCUAGCGAAGCCAAUCAGCGUCGCCGCGGUCCCAGUUCUAAAGUCCCCACCCGCCGAUCCGCAUUCAGAGUCUCCUCAGACACCGAGAUGCGGGUCAUGGCGCUCCGAACCCUCCUCCUGCUGCUCUCGGGAGCCCUGACCCUGACCGAAACCUGGGCCGGCUCGCACUCCAUGAGGUAUUUCUACAUCACCGUGUCCCGGCCCGGCCGCGGGGAGCCCCUGUAUCUCGAAGUCGGCUACGUGGACGACACCCAGUUCGUGCGGUUCCACAGCGACGCCGAGAGUCCGAGGAUGGAGCCGCGGGCGCCGUGGAUAGAGCAGGAGGGGCCGGAGUAUUGGGAAGAGGAGACGCGGAAAGCCAAGGACAGCGCACAGAUUAACCAAGUGGACCUGGGGACCCUGCUCCGCUACUACAACCAGAGCGAGACCGGGUCUCACACCAUCCAGACGAUGUACGGCUGCGAUCUGGGGCCCGACGGGCGCCUCCUCCGCGGGUAUUACCAGUACGCCUACGACGGCAGGGAUUACAUCGCCCUGAACCGGGACCUGCGCUCCUGGACCGCCGCGGACAGGGCGGCUCAGAACACCCAGCGGAAGUGGGAGGCGGACCAUUAUGCGGAGCAGCUGAGAGCCUACCUGGAGGGGACGUGCGUGGAGUGGCUCCGCAGAUACCUGGAGAACGGGAAGGAGACGCUGCAGCGCGCGGAUCCCCCAAAGACACACGUGGCCCACCACCCCGUCUCUGACCAUGAGGCCACCCUGAGGUGCUGGGCCCUGGGCUUCUACCCUGCGGAGAUCACACUGACCUGGCGGCGGGAUGGGGAGGACCAAACUCAGGACACCGAGCUUGUGGAGACCAGGCCAGGAGGAGAUGGAACCUUCCAGAAGUGGGGAGCUGUGGUGGUGCCUUCUGGAGAAGAGCAGAGAUACACGUGCCAUGUGCAGCAUGAGGGGCUAACAGAGCCCCUCACCCUGAGAUGGGAGCCGUCUUCCCAGUCCACCAUCCCCAUCGUGGGCAUCGUUGCUGGCCUGGCUGUCCUAGGAGCUGUGGUCACCGGAGCUGUGGUCGCUGCUGUGAUGUGGAGGAGGAAGAGCUCAGGUGGAAAAGGAGGGAGCUACUCUCAGGCUGCGUCCAGUGACGGUGCCCAGGGCUCUGAUGUGUCUCUCACGGCUUGAAAAGCCUGAGACAACUGUCUUGUGUGGAACUGAGAAGCAGGAUUUCUUCACGCCUCCCUUUUGAAGACACUCUGGCAUCUCUUUCUGCAAAGGCAUCUGAAUGUGUCUGCAUCCCUGUUAGCAUAAUGUGAGGAGGUGGAGGGACAGCCCACCCCCGUGUCCACUGUGACCCCUGUUCCCAUGCUGACCUGUGUUUCCUCCCCAGUCAUCUUUCCUGUUCCAGUAAGGUGGGGCUGGAUGUCUCCAUGUCAGUCUCAACUUUAUGUGCACUGAGCUGCAACUUCUUACUGCCCUACUGAAAAUAAGAAUCUGAAUCUAAAUUUGUUUUCUCAAAUAUCUGUUAUGAGAGGUUGAUGGAUUAAUUAAAUACGUCAAUUCUUAGAAUUUCAGAGAGCAAAUGAAGACCUGAGAACCUUCCAGAAUCCACAUGUUCGCUGUGCUGCAUCUGUUGCACGUAGGGGUGGAGAAGGCUGUGAGGAGCCCUGUGUGGACUGGGCCUGUGCCUAGUUGCUGUUAAGUUCUUCAUGUGCUUUAUGUGGUCAGUCCUAAGCUGGGUCACCUUCACUGCUCCGUUGUCCUUGUCCCUUCAGUGGAAACUUGUCCAGCGGGAGCUGUGACCACAGAGGCUCAGACAUCACCGAGGGUGGCCCCUGCACAAGGGGGUCUCUGUGUAUUCUGAGAGAAAUUUUCAGAGCCAUUCACCUCCUGCCCUGCUUCUAGAGCUUCUGUUCUGCUCUGCUCUCCUGCCCUCUCUCCCUGCCGCGGUUCUUGUGAUCUUGGUGCUGAAUCCAAUCCCAACUCAUGAAUCUAUAAAGCAGAGUCUAAUUUAGACUUA